rnacentral:rRNA from 1 species
UACCAGCACCCCGAGUGGUCGGGACGAUUAUUGGGCCUAAAGCAUCCGUAGCCGGUCCUGCAAGUCUUCCGUUAAAUCCAGCUGCUCAACAGAUGGGCUGCGGGGGAUACUACAUGGCUAGGAGGCGGGAGAGGCAAGCGGUACUUUAUGGGUAGGGGUAAAAUCCGUUGAUCCAUAGAAGACCACCAGUGGCGAAGGCGGCUUACUGGUCCGGAACUGACGCUGAGGUGCGAAAGCGUGGGGAGCAAACAGG